GACGUAGGGCGCGAGCGUUGUCCGGAUUUAUUGGGCGUAAAGAGCUUGUAGGCGGUUUGUCGCGUCUGCUGUGAAAAUCCGGGGCUCAACCCCGGACUUGCAGUGGGUACGGGCAGGCUAGAGUGUGGUAGGGGAGACUGGAAUUCCUGGUGUAGCGGUGAAAUGUGUAGAGAUCGGGAGGAACACCGGUGGCGAAGGCGGGUCUCUGGGCAAUUCCUGACGCUGAGGCGCGAAAGCGUGGGGAGCAAACGGG
rnacentral:rRNA from 1 species